ACGGGUGAGUAACGCGUAUGCAACCUACCUAGUACAGAGGGAAUAACCGGCGAAAGUCGGACUAAUACCGACAGUAAAACAGGGGCACCGCAUGGUGAUAUUGUUAAAGAAAUUCGCUGAUAGAUGGGCAUGCGUUCCAUUAGGUAGUUGGUGAGGUAACGGCUCACCAAGCCGACGAUGGAUAGGGGAACUGAGAGGUUGGUCCCCCACACUGGUACUGAGACACGGACCAGACUCCUACGGGAGGCAGCAGUGAGGAAUAUUGGUCAAUGGGCGGGAGCCUGAACCAGCCAAGUCGCGUGAAGGAAGAAGGAUCUAUGGUUCGUAAACUUCUUUUGCAGGGGAAUAAAGUGCAGGACGUGUCCUGUUUUGUAUGUACCCUGAGAAUAAGGAUCGGCUAACUCCGUGCCAGCCGCGGC
rnacentral:rRNA from 1 species